UACAGAGGGUGCAAGCGUUGUCCGGAAUUAUUGGGCGUAAAGAGCUCGUAGGCGGUCUGUUGCGUCGGCCGUGAAAUCCCAUGGCUCAACUGUGGGCUUGCAGCCGAUACGGGCGGGCUAGAGUUCGGUAGGGGAGACUGGAAUUCCUGGUGUAGCGGUGAAAUGCGCAGAUAUCAGGAGGAACACCGGUGGCGAAGGCGGGUCUCUGGGCCGAUACUGACGCUGAGGAGCGAAAGCGUGGGGAGCGAACAGG
rnacentral:rRNA from 1 species